GACGAACGCUGGCGGCGUGCCUAAUACAUGCAAGUAGAACGCAGUUGCGAACGGGUGAGUAACGCGUAGGUAACUGCCUCAUAGCGGGGGAUAACUAUUGGAAACGAUAGCUCAUACCGCAUACUGUGAGAUGUACCUGCGUUUUAUUAGCUAGUUGGUGAGGUAAAGGCUCACCAAGGCGACGAUACAUAGCCGACCUGAGCGGGUGAUCGGCAAAACUGGUACUGAGACACGGCCGAGACUCCGACUGGAGGCAGCAGUAGGGAAUCUUCGGACAUGCACGGAAGUGUGACCGAGCAACGCCGCGUGAGUGAAGAAGCUUUUCGGAUCGUAAAGCGCUGUUGUUAGAGAAGCAGUAACUAACCAGAAAAGGAGGGAUAACUACGGGCAAGGAGCCGCGGUAAUAC
rnacentral:rRNA from 1 species